CGGCCGACGUCUGAUUAGCUAGUUGGUGGGGUAAAGGCCCACCAAGGCGACGAUCAGUAGCUGGUCUGAGAGGACGAUCAGCCACACUGGGACUGAGACACGGGCCUUACUCCUACGGGAGGCAGCAGUGGGGAAUUUUGGACAAUGGGGGCAACCCUGAUCCAGCAAUGCCGCGUGUGUGAAGAAGGCCUUCGGGUUGUAAAGCACUUUUGUCCGGAAAGUGACGGUACCGGAAGAAUAAGCACCGGCUAACUACGUGCCAGCAGCCGCGGUAAUACGUAGGGUGCGAGCGUUAAUCGGAAUUACUGGGCGUAAAGCGUGCGCAGGCGGUUUUGUAAGACAGGCGUGAAAUCCCCGGGCUUAACCUGGGAAUUGCGCUUGUGACUGCAAGGCUAGAGUGCGUCAGAGGGGGGUAGAAUUCCACGUGUAGCAGUGAAAUGCGUAGAG
rnacentral:rRNA from 1 species